rnacentral:pre_miRNA from 1 species
AAUAAGAUCAUUUUUUAGUGUUUUGAUACAUGUUUUGACUCUUUGUCUUAUUUGAAAUUAUUUUGCUAUUAAUAUUUUAUUCUUACUAGAUGAUAAAACAUGAACAGUACUUUAUACGUGACUAAUUUUUUUUUGUAAGUUUUUGUAUAAAUUUUUCAAAUACGACGAAUGGUCAAACGUUGGACGCGGAAAAAC